CUUCCUGGGUAGGGACUAGCCGGGCGGCGCUGCGGCUCACUGGGGGCGCGCGUCCCGCUCUUCAACGGGCCUUCCGGUCCGUGAGCGCGUUCGAACCGAUACCGCUCUGCGGAGCUCAAGUUCGACCUCGGUGUCGGAGACGAACAGACAGGUUUAGAACUCAAGCUUCGACCUGCGCCGGCUGAGCAGCUUUCUGACAGCCACUCCUCCCGCCGUCUUCGGGGAGGCCGUGCUCAGGGGGCCUGUCCUCUGCGUCCCCUCGCCUCCACCUCUCUCUUUACUUAGAUUAAGUUGGCUGUGGGUGACGCUUAGUGUAAUUCCUAGUCCCGAUGAAGAUGCGGGCGCAAAGAGGCCCCGCAACUCACCCAAGAGCGCGCAGCAAGCAAUCAGCAGUUGGAAUUUCUGCUGAGCACUUAAGGCACGGCAGCCUGUGGGACCCUCAUCCCAGCCCUCGGAUUGGACGGUCAUCCCGCGGCUGCGUCCUGUCCGUUCCAUGAAAAUGUCAGCGCUGCCUGGAACAGUGUGCUCUUCCCAUCCACCCAUCCGUUCAAUAAACAUUGGUUUGCACCUGCUCUGAGCCGGACACUCCACGAUGCAGGCUUAAGUACAAAGUCUGCAGCCUUAACAAGCUUAGUCCUUAGUUGGGAAGCUUGCGAUGGUGAGGUGUGCAAGCCCCGAGCAGGCCACCUGAAACAGCUGGAGAGCCUAGGAAGGCACCAGGAGAUGAUAUGGUAAUGCCCACACGGAACCCUGAUGGCAGGCUAACGUCCUUAGGAGAAGAUGGUGCUUUGCCAUGUCGCAGGUGCGGAAACUGAGGCCCUAAAGGAGGAUGGAGUUUGUCCAAAAUCACAAAUUGAGCAAAUGCCUUUCCAGGCGUAGACGGCAGGUCCAGCGUGCAAAGAAACUGGACCUGGCCGCAGAGUCAGGCAGUUCCUUCUGUUUCAGCAGAAGAUGAUGUAGCAGGCCAGGCUCCAAGGUGCGUGAAGGUCAGUGAGGCCACAGCAGUAGACUUGAUUAUCAUGCCUGCCCAGCACCCUUCUUACCUCCUGACCCCCCUCACUCUCAUUUUCUGUAGAGAACCACCCUUCCCCCUCUGGGCACCACAUGGCUUAAAUGGGUUGGCCCUCCCUCAGCUUCGUUUCCGGGAUGGACACGGGACCUUGGCCUGGCCGAUCAGUGUCCUCUCGUCCCCAGAAUAGUGAUUGGUUCAGAAAUGUGAGCGGACAGUCCAGUGACACUUAGUCCUGCACCUUUACGGGAAAUAACAGGAAAGAGCCUUGGUCCUGGGUCUCCGCGUCAUCUUUUCCGCUUCAUGGGAAGGCUCCACCUGAGGGUGGAGCCUGCACAGAGGACAGGUCAGCUGGCAGAGACCCCUGAGGCAGUCCUUUACGUCCCCAGCCCCAGCCAGCUUGCCCCACUUGCAGGGUGAGCAGGGCAGACCCUGGGGCCUAAGAGCUUGAGUUAGGGCCCCCUCCAUGGGCCUGAGAGUGACACAGGCAAGGUCCGGGGCGGACGCCGCGCCCCGGCCUGUGCUGUGCGGGCCCUGGCCCGCCUGCCUGCCGGCUGGCCCACCCUCUCACGCCAACCCCCUGACCCUUGCUCUUUCAGCGCCUGUCCCUUGACCCCUCAUGUCUUCAUCCAGGCCGAAUCAUCUCAGCCUCUUGGUUUCCAACACUUCUGCUCCCUCUUUGCUUUGAAGUCUUUCACAUCUGACCUUUGAACCCCCAAGUCCAGGUCAAGCCUGCCUCUGCCUUCUCCACACCUUGAGAAGACUGCUGAGUAUACAGCAGUCUGUGGAGCCACGCGCCCAUCAUGUUCUCCAGCCUCAGCUGAGCGCUCAGAGCAUGUCCUCAACUGAUAGAACAUUUAAUAACGGCCCAUCAAACAGUGAAGCAGCGGCAUGAGGACAGACGCAGGCCUACGGGAUAAAACGGAGCGUCCAGAAAUAAGCCUCAGCGUGCGAGCAAGGGGGCCACGGCCACUCGCAGGGGAAAGCUGAAACUGUAAUUAGGUUUUGGUGACUUUGGGCUUAGCAGAAGCGACUGUACUUGGGGCCUGUUGUGUUGUUUCUUAAUUUCCUCCUCCUGACCGAUUCUCAGCCUGAGAGAUGCGAUGGAAAUUUAAGGCCUUAGCGCUACUCCCAGCCACCGCUCUGGAGCCCUUGCAGCUUCCCCUGAACCUCUGCGGUGCUCACAGCUCACGACGUCGGGUUCACAUUCUUUACCUCAGUAAUUCAUUCUUUUUCUGACGCUUCUGUCUCAGGGAGAUCAUUUGCUUGGUGGCUAGUGGCUGCGAACGUGCAUUUAAAGCUUUUGAGAGAAUACAAUGCACUGUGAAGAUUGUGAUGAUGAUUGUAAGCAAUAUAAUCCCCAGGGUCUGGGGUGCACUUCAGAGCCAUGACCCCCAAGAUCCAAACCAGUCACGCUCAAAGCCAGAGAAAGUCCCUGUUGAGGGAGGCCCCCUUGUAAGCUACCUGGCUUCAUCUCUGGUCUCAUAUUCCCGCAUUCUCGUCAGCAUUUGGAAUGACCUCCCUUUCCGACUGUGGCCAGGCGCACUGGUACACUUGUUAUUUCAUCUCCAGGUUGAUUUCUGGGGGCAGAAGGGAAGAUGAUUAUGCUGGCACCUUGGAAGUGGUGCAAAGAACACAGCCAAGUAACGUUGAUCCACAUAGUGAGAACGUUACUGCCUUCUUAACCCUUUUUUUUUUAACCCUUUUUUUUUUUGGCUGCACAGCUUGGACCGAACCGUGAUCCCUGACCAGGGAUUAAAUCCCGGUUCACCGCAGUAAAAGCCCACGUCGUAACCAUUGUCUGGCCAGGGAAUUCCUGCGCCUUUUUAAUUCUAAUUCCGUGAAUCUUAGGGGGUGGAGUGUGACUCUCCGUUUUUAAUACUUGCUAGUCUCACUUUUUAUUGAGACUUUUGUGGGUCCCAGCUAUUUGUGGAAAGUGAUAGUGUUUUUCCGUAUAUGGGGAAAUACUUUUAUUUAAGUCAGCCUUAAAGCUGUGUCUGCCUGGAUCUUGCGUGAAUGGUGAAGGCGGCUCAUGGCACUGGGUUUGGAGACAGCUGGCAUGAAACGGGGGUCGGCUGGCAGGGAGCGGAGGCUGAGCAAGCCUCCUCUCGCGGCCCUCCUCCCUCUGCCGGGGACUAGCCCCAGCAGCACCACCGAGGGCUGUCAGGAGAGUUCAGUGAGGGCCUGGCCCCGGGCCUGAGCUGGAAGCGGCGCAGAAAGUGGCAUUCGCGCUCGCAGCCCAGAGGCCCAGGCUUGCCCCUGCCGCCUGCCCGCUCCUGCCCGCUGUGUGCGCUGCCUUCCAGUCGUCCUGCCCGGCUUUGCCCCGAGGACUCUCCUGGGAAUUGCUGUGCAGCCUGAGGCAGAAAGCGGGGCUGGGGCUGGGGUCAGGUCAGCCAGCCUUCUCUGCUGGGGCCUCUCUCCAUGCCAGCAGACAUGCCCCACUGCGGCGGGGGAACAGCUGAAGGCUGCGGGUCCCCAGGGCUCUGGCUGCACCCCCGUCCCACGGUGUCACGUGGCAGCGGGGUCAGAGGUCAGGGGAGCGUGGUCUGACCAGAGGACAGGCCGUCGGGCUGUUUCUGGUGUAUCAGACUGUGAUCCUCUGACCAGGUGGGAGGGAAUUAUGAGCCAUUCCCUAACUUAAUAAAUGUGAAAAUAGA